CAGAGGGUGUAAGCGUUAAUCGGAUUUACUGGGCGUAAAGCGUGUGUAGGUGGCCGCGUAAGUCGGUUGUGAAAUCCCUGGGCUUAACCUGGGAAUUGCAUCCGAUACUGCGUGGCUCGAGUUCGGUAGAGGGCAGCAGAAUUCCCGGUGUAGCGGUGAAAUGCGUAGAUAUCGGGAGGAAUACCGAUGGCGAAGGCAACUGCCUGGGCCUGAACUGACACUGUGACACGAAAGCGUGGGUAGCAAACUGGAUUAGAUACCCUGGUAGUCCACGCCGUAAACGAUGGGAACCUGACGUCGGUUUGCUCUGCGAAUCGGUGUCGUAGCCAACGCGCUAAGUUCCCCGCCUGGGGAGUACGGCCGCAAGGUUG
rnacentral:rRNA from 1 species